GACGAACGCUGGCGGCGUGCCUAAUACAUGCAAGUCGAACGCAGUGGGGACGGGUGAGUAACACGUGGGUAACCUCCCAUCAGAGGGGAUAACACUUGGAAACAGGUGCUAAACCGAUACUGAUGGAUGGACCCGGGGGGCAUUAGCUAGUUGGUGAGGUAACGGCUCACCAAGGCCACGAUGCAUAGCUGGUCUGAGAGGGUGAUCGGCCACACUGGGACUGAGACACGGCCCAGACUCCUACGGGAGGCAGCAGUAGGGAAUAUUCGGCAAUGGACGAAAGUCUGACCGAGCAACGCCGCGUGAGUGAAGAAGGUUUUCGGAUCGUAAAACUCUGUUGUUAGAGAGGCGGUACCUAAUCAGAAAGCCACGGCUAACUACGUGCCAGCAGCCGCGGUAAUAC
rnacentral:rRNA from 1 species